rnacentral:rRNA from 1 species
UUGAUCCUGGCUCAGAAUCAACGCUGGCGGCGUGCCUAACACAUGCAAGUCGAACGCGAAAGCCCCGCAAGGGGUGAGUAGAGUGGCAAACGGGUGAGUUACACGUGGGUGAUCUGCCUCAGAGUGGGGGAUAACGACCCGAAAGGGUCUCUAAUACCGCAUGACAUCCUGCCUUUGGAUAGGUGGAGAUCAAAGUUGGUGAUUCGCAAGAACCUGACGCUCAGAGAGGAGCCCGCGGCCGAUUAGCUAUUUGGUGAGGUAACGGCUCACCAAGGCAACGAUCGGUAUCCGGCCUGAGAUGGCGGACGGACACACUGGGACUGAGACACGGCCCAGACUCCUACGGGAGUCAGCAGUGGGGAAUUGUUCGCAAUGGGCGCAAGCCUGACGACGCAACGCUGCGUGGAGGACGAAGAUUUUCGGAUCGUAAACUCCUUUCGAUCGGGAAGUACAGCUGUCGGGUUAAUAACCUGAGAGUCUGACGGUACCGAGAGAAGAAUCCCCGGCUAACUCCGUGCCAGCAGCCGCGGUAAUAAGGU